UGGGAUGCAACACGAGGA
rnacentral:snRNA from 1 species